GAUGAAGAACGUAGCGAAAUGCGAUAAGUAAUGUGAAUUGCAGAUUUCAGUGAAUCAUCGAAUCUUUGAACGCACCUUGCGCCUUGUGGUAUUCCACAAGGCAUGCCCGUUUGAGUAUCAUUAAAUCAUCAACUCUAAAACCUUUGUGGUUUUUUUUAGAGCUUGGUCUUGAGGGUUUUGCAGGCUUUUUUUUUUUUUUCGAGUCUGCUCCCUUUAAAUGCAUUAGCGAGACUUCCCUAUGCUGAACCGUCUCUUUGACGUGAUAAUUAUCUGCGUCGAAUUUUGGUUCUCGUUGGGCUUGCUUCUAAUCGUCUGUUAAAGACAAAACGGAUUUGGGUGCAUAUAUGCGCCUUUUUCCAAAACCUUUUUUUGAUCUCAAAUCGGGUAGGACUACCCGCUGAACUUAAGCAUAUCAUAGCGGAGGA
rnacentral:misc_RNA from 1 species